rnacentral:rRNA from 1 species
CGAGCGCACCCUUGUCCUUAGUUGCAGCCUUAAGUUGGGCACUCUAAGGAGACUGCCCGGGAGAACCCGAGGAAGGGGGGGACGACAUCCAGUCUUCUUGGGCCUUUCACGUUGGGCUACACACGUGCUAUAAUGGGAUUUACAGAGGGAAGCGAGACAGUGAUGUGGAGCGGACCCCUUAAAGAAUGUCAUAGUCCGGAUUGGAGUCUGCAACUCGACUCCAUGAAGUCGGAAUCGCUAGUAAUCGCAAGUCAGAAUACUGCUGUGAAUACUUUCCCGGGGCUU